CAAAUCCAAUUGCACGAAGGAUAGCGGGGCAGCAUUUCUGUGCGCUUCUUCUCUGGGCUUGCCCGGAUUGCACACUAUAGGGAUGGAAGUAGCAGAAACUCUAGGCCCCAGAGGAGUGGCUGGUGGCCGAGGUGGUGACAUGCAGGAGAAUGCAGUUGCACAGAGCCCACACCGUGGAGAUAAGGAGCCCCAGUCACAGAGAUUAUGGAUUGCACUGCAGAGGCAGCCUGCCUGAUGAUGUUAGCACUUUGCAGCACCGGGUUUUUCUGCAGCAGUUUCAUUUUUAUUCCUGCUAAGAGACACAAUGGCUUGCAGACAUUUGUUCCAACCACUUUGGAAAAACAUUUCCAGAAUCAUCCCCAGCGCUGGCGGCACAGCAGCAUCCUCAUUCGUAUGCUGCUGCUUUGUCUGGAGAAAGGCAUGCGGCAACGCUAUUCCUAACCUCUCCCCACUGCGGUAAGCAGCCAUUCGGAUUGGAUCCCACAUCCUCUCCUGCGCAUUUUGCUUUUCUGGCUGUCUGUCUUGCUGUGUGCUCCCAAUGUCGAGUCUGCAAGUGAGU
rnacentral:lncRNA from 1 species